rnacentral:rRNA from 1 species
GAUGAACGCUAGCGGCAGGCUUAAUACAUGCAAGUCGUGGGGCAGCAUGAGUAGCAAUACUUGAUGGCGACCGGCAAACGGGUGAGGAACACGUACACAACCUUCCUUCAAGCGGGGAAUAGCCCAGAGAAAUUUGGAUUAAUACCCCAUAAUAUAUUUGAUAAGGCAUCUUAUUAAUAUUAAAGCUUCGGCACUUGAUGAUGGGUGUGCGGCUGAUUAGAUAGUUGGCGGGGUAACGGCCCACCAGGUCUACGAUCAGUAGCUGAUGUGAGAGCAUGAUCAGCCACACGGGCACUGAGACACGGGCCCGACUCCUACGGGAGGCAGCAGUAAGGAAUAUUGGACAAUGGACGAAAGUCUGAUCCAGCCAUGCCGCGUGAAGGAUUAAGGUCCUCUGGAUUGUAAACUUCUUUAUAUGGGUACGAAAAAGGGCAUUCUUGUUCACUUGACGGUACCAUAUGAAUAAGCACCGGCUAACUCCGUGCCAG